GACAGAGGCCCCGAGCGUUAGGCGGAAUCACUGGGCUUAAAGCGCGUGUAGGCGGAGGGCUAAGUACCUUGUGAAAUCCCCGGGCUCCAACCGGGAACUGCUCGGUAUACUGGCCUUCUUGAGGCAUCUAGGGGCGAGCGGAACAAACGGUGGAGCGGUGAAAUGCGUAGAUAUCGUUUGGAACGCCAACGGAGAAAUCAGCUCGCUGGGGAUGUCCUGACGCUGAGACGCGAAAAGCCA
rnacentral:rRNA from 1 species